GGCUCAGGAUGAAACGCCGGCGGCGUGCUUAAUACAUGCAAGUCGAACGGAGGUAUGCAGCAAUAUAUAUCUUAGUGGCGAACGGGUGAGUAACGCGUUGGUGACCUACCCCAGAGAGGGGGAUAACAGCUCGAAAGGGCUGCUAAUACCCCAUGUGGUCAUAGUUGUUAGAGAGCUAUGACGAAAGGUGCAAACCGCUCUGGGAGGGGCCUGCGUCCCAUCAGCUAGUUGGUAGGGUAACGGCCUACCAAGGCGACGACGGGUAGGGGGCCUGAGAGGGUGAUCCCCCACACUGGCACUGAAACACGGGCCAGACACCUACGGGUGGCAGCAGUAGGGAAUAUUGCACAAUGGGCGAAAGCCUGAUGCAGCAACGCCGCGUGUGCGAUGAAGGCCUUCGGGUCGUAAAGCACUUUUCGAGGAGAUGAGGAAGGACAGUAUCCUCGGAAUAAGGAUCGGCUAACUACGUGCCAGCAGCCGCGGUAAAACGUAGGAUCCGAGCGUUAUCCGAAUUCACUGGGCGUAAAGCGCGUGCAGGCGGUUCGGUAAGUUGGAUGUGAAAUCUCCCGGCUCAACUGGGAGAGGUCGUUCAAUACUGUCGGACUCGAGGACGGUAGAGGGAGGUGGAAUUCCCGGUGUAGUGGUGAAAUGCGUAGAUAUCGGGAGGAACACCAGUGGCGAAGGCGGCCUCCUGGACCGUUCCUGACGCUCAGACGCGGAAGCUAGGGGAGCAAACGGGAUUAGAAACCCCGGUAGUCCUAGCCGUAAACUAUGUAGACUUGGUGUCGGUGGUGUAAAAACCAUCGGUGCCGUAGCUAACGCGUUAAGUCUACCGCCUGGGGACUA
rnacentral:rRNA from 1 species